CUUGUUUUUUUUUUUUUUUUUUUUUUUUUUUUUUAAUUAACUAUAAUAUAUUAAUAAACCCAAAUGGGCACGACAAACAGAGUUACACGGCCCAAAAACGGCCCACAAAAAAAAGGAAAAGCAAAUCAGAGGCCCGACGGAAGUAGAGCUCGGAACCGGGUGCGAGUUACCGGAGACAACGACUAAUCGUCCAGGAAAUCCGGCGUUAACAAAGGGCACUACUUCGCUUCAUCUUCGGCUGCUCCAAAGCUUCGAUUGGAGCUAACGAUUCCAAACCAAAACUCUAGAGCCUCCGUCAGAUAUUACCCCUAACUCCCUUCCCGGACUGAACCUAGCCGAAGACAACCGGACCCACCACCUUCCUGUCCCCGACCUAGCAACAAGAAGGAUCUCGGAUCUAACCCCCCACCUCCUGCUCCGGCACACCGAACCACUAACCUAGACUGCACCUGCUUCAACCGGGAGAGACGAAAACCAGCUCGGUAACGGUUAGGUCGUCGGCUCAACACAACCACAACCGCCAGAACCCUAGCCAGCCAGCCCAGAUCUGAAAAGAACAACCGCAAAUCGCCCCAACACAUGGUGAAAAGCCUCCGAUCCGCCUGUCGACUUCCGCCGCCAUCCACAGAUCCGAAACCGACACCUCGAGCCGAAUCACUUUAAGCCAAACCACCGAGUCCUCAACAGUAGUACAACGACAAAAAGCAAUUCCAAUGUCGGAUUCGCACCCACGAAAAGCGUCUAGGGCAGAUCUACCACAUCACACCACCACCGGAGAAGCAAGGCCGACACCAACCGCUGGUCCGAGAACCCUCUUUGUCGACGAUGAAGAACAAACAACUAAGAGGCAAGAAGGGAGAGGAGCAGAGGCAAACCGGAGAAGGAAACCGGUUCCGGAGAGACUCCUCUCCCUUAGAUCUAUCAAUUGAUGGCUAGGGUUUUUUAGGAGAGAGGUGGGAGAGUUUUUGCCUCUCAAAGGCCUUGCGUUGGUC
rnacentral:lncRNA from 1 species